CGGCGGACGGGUGAGUAAUGCCUAGGAAUCUGCCUGGUAGUGGGGGACAACGUUUCUAAAGGAACGCUAAUACCGCAUACGUCCUACGGGAGAAAGCAGGGGACCUUCGGGCCUUGCGCUAUCAGAUGAGCCUAGGUCGGAUUAGCUAGUUGGUGAGGUAAUGGCUCACCAAGGCGACGAUCCGUAACUGGUCUGAGAGGAUGAUCAGUCACACUGGAACUGAGACACGGUCCAGACUCCUACGGGAGGCAGCAGUG
rnacentral:rRNA from 1 species